CAAACAAAACAAAACGAAUAAAAAAUAUAGUGUUUAGUCCGAGUUAUACAGUCCCAAAAUAGAAAAAUACAGAAAUAUAAAUCCUGUUCUAAACUAAUCCUAGACUAAGCUCCAAUGCUUCACCCGAUGCCUCGGGCCUUCAUCAUGAACGUCUUCCGUGUACAAAAUACUUCAGAGCAUUCUCCGAAUAAAAUAAUACAAGUACUUCGGGGCAUUCCCCGGCCAAAUAAUACAAGUGAUCCCAAAGCGAUAAAGUCAAAAACCAUUCAAUCACACAGUUCGAAUAGUCAACAAACCAUAAUCCCUAAAUUUGCCUACCCCUAACGUUUGUCUAUUUUUUGCUUCAACCUAAAACACAAUACUAUCGAGUUCGAUUAACAUCCAUUUCAAGUCAAACAACCAAUGAAUCAAACUAACCAAAAAUUCACCCUUUUUUAAAUCCAUUUUUAAUCCCCGCCCCACUUUCAUUCUUGAUCAAUUAACCAAUUCCAAUGCAGAAGCAACCAAUCAAAAUCAAACAAUCACAGACGUUCAAACAUACUAUAAAAAAUUAUCAUCAGUCAAACCACGCAACUCACAAUAUCAACACAUCAAAUUGAAUAAAACGAGGAGAAUGGGUUAAAGAAUUGGACCUCAAAUGUCAGAUUUCAAUAUAUCGGAGAUAAAACUGCGCCCAAAAAGCCUCAAUUUGAACCUCGACCCACAAAACUCCAAUUCGGUAUCAGAAAUCGAAGCCCAAAAAUUGGUUGUGAUGAACAAGUUGAGACGAACGAGAACCCAAACCCCCAAAACAGCAACGAAGCCUGAUUAGCCCAACCCAAGAAACACCACAGAACCGAUCCACCCGUACGCGAAAUUAUAGCAAAAUCGAGUAAAAAACAGAGCUGAUUUCAACGAAAACCUCUCACUAAUUCAUCCUUUUUUUUUUUGGGGCCAAGUCUGGCUUCUUCAUUUUUGAUUUCCCUUCACUAGUUUCGAUCAGUAUUUGUGCUUUCCGAUGAGUAUGAUGAGGUGUAUAUAUCGUGAGAGCUUGAGUGUGUAUGCCGAUGGGAGCAAGAAAGGAGAAGAAAAUGAGGUCCCUAAUGGCGUUUGUGUGGGGGCUUGUUUUUUUUUGAAAAUGGAGGAAUUUUUGGUGAGUAUGUGUAGGAGAGAAUAGAGAAAAUUCUCUGGGUUUUUUUUCCUGUAUAUGCUGUAUAUGAUUUCUGUGUGUAUAUCUUCUCCUUACGAAAGAAUGGUGAGGACCCUUUUUGCUGUGUGAUGGUGAGUGAGAGUAUUCAAAGUGGGUCCCCCUUUUUUGGAAUAUAGCGUGUAUAUAUGGAUGGAUUCUUUGGUUAAGAUAAGUGAUGUCUAUUUUCUUCCUGUGGGCCCCUUUUAGUGGAAAUAUGUAUAUGUGGGUUAUAUUUGUAUUCCAUCAAAAGAGAAACUCAAUUAUGUUAAGGGUCUAACAAGAAUGGAAAAGACGUAUUAGGGGGUUAGGGGUUGUGGUGACGUAGGGUUAGGGGGUAUGUGGUGAUGUGUUGUCAAUUUUUAAUUGAAGAGGUUGUUGG
rnacentral:lncRNA from 1 species